rnacentral:rRNA from 1 species
GACUGCGGAGAUCAUUAAAAAAUAAUCACAGUUUUGUGAUUUUAAUAAUCAUCCUACCCUUUGUGAAUUUGUUUUGUAAAGAAAAUUUAUGUUGUCUAUCCCUGGUGGUUUUUGGAAAAGUUGAAAAACUUUUUCGAAUCCUCAGGGACUAGGCUUUCAUAGACCUUUUUUUUAAAUUAAACUUUUUGUAUUCAUUUGUCUAAAAUUUAUUUUUAAUAAUUUAAAAACAACUUUUGACAAUGGAUCUCUUGGUUCUCGCAACGAUGAAGAACGCAGCAAAAUGCGAUAAGUAAUGUGAAUUGCAGAAUACGUGAAUCAUCAAAUCUUCGAACGCAUAUUGCACUUUUCUAGUUUACUAGAAAAGUAUGUCUGUUUGAGUAUCAGUAAAAUAUUCUCAUAAAAAACAUUGUUUUUUAUGGUUAUGAGUGUUUUACAACGAUAAACAAGUUGUUUCACUUUAAAUUGAUUUUUAAAAGCCAAUUUGGUUUUAUCUAAUAAAAUUGGAUAAAAUUUUCCCGUAAAAAGGAAUAAACUUUUCAGUUUUAAAAGGUAAAACUUUAGUUGAGCCUAAUAAAAGGAAAUUUAACAAAAUAACUUGAUCUCAAAUCAGAUAAGAGUACCCGCUGAACUUAAGCAUAUCAAUAAGCGGAGGA